UACGGGGGGGGCAAGCGUUGUUCGGAAUUACUGGGCGUAAAGGGCUCGUAGGUGGCCAACUAAGUCAGACGUGAAAUCCCUCGGCUUAACCGGGGAACUGCGUCUGAUACUGGAUGGCUUGAGUUUGGGAGAGGGACGCGGAAUUCCAGGUGUAGCGGUGAAAUGCGUAGAUAUCUGGAGGAACACCGGUGGCGAAGGCGGCGUCCUGGACAAACACUGACACUGAGGAGCGAAAGCCAGGGGAGCAAACGGG
rnacentral:rRNA from 1 species